AUGCAGAGGAGACGGGUCGGCAGCAGGCAGAACGAGCAGCUGGGCGGCAAGGGCAUGGGGCCGGAGGAACCAAGAUCGACACAUCCCCAUCUAAUCUUCCGCGAGGGAACGAGUGCACCUGUACCAUCUCAGCCAGGCGAGAAAAUUGCAACAUAUCUUGUUCAUCCAGUAGAUAUGUCAACAGGAACAGAUUUGAAGGAACAACAAGCAUUCAACCAACUCAGCCGGCAACAGAAGCUCCGUCUCUGCCUAAAUCUUAAUUUUCCAUUCUCUGACCUGAUUAGUGGAAAGCUUUUUUUAAUCAAAGAUUAG
rnacentral:rRNA from 1 species